rnacentral:rRNA from 1 species
UGAAAUGCUACGGCUCAACCGUAGCACUGCCCUUGAUACUGGUUGUCUUGAGUCAUAGUGAAGUGGCCGGAAUAUGUAGUGUAGCGGUGAAAUGCAUAGAUAUUACAUAGAACACCGAUUGCGAAGGCAGGUCACUAACUAUCGACUGACGCUGAUGGACGAAAGCGUGGGGAGCGAACGGGAUUAGAUACCCCGGUAGUCCACGCCGUAAACGAUGGAUACUAGCUGUCCGCUGCCUUGAGCAGUGGGCGGCCCAGCGAAAGUGAUAAGUAUCCCACCUGGGGAGUACGUUCGCAAGAAUGAAACCCAAAGGAAUUGACGGGGGCCCGCACAAGCGGUGGAGCAUGUGGUUUAAUUCGAUGAUACGCGAGGAACCUUACCAGGGCUUAAAUGCAUAAUGACAGGUCUAGAGAUAGACUUUUCUUCGGACAUUUUGCAAGGUGCUGCAUGGUUGUCGUCAGCUCGUGCCGUGAGGUGUCAGGUUAAGUCCUAUAACGAGCGCAACCCCUGCCGUCAGUUGCCAGCAAGUAAAGUUGGGGACUCUGACGGGACUGCCGGUGCAAACCGCGAGGAAGGUGGGGACGACGUCAAAUCAUCACGGCCCUUACGUCCUGGGCUACACACGUGCUACAAUGG